UUUUGAGAGAAAUCUAAUGGCUAAAACUAAACAAUACACCCCCCAGUCUAUUAAAGGAACGAAUGUCGUACAAACUUGAAUUGCUCAAUUUAACUGCCCAAUCAAUAUCGGAUUGAGCCGAAAACUUGGUCAACAUCAUAAUAUGGUCGGAGGAAUUAUUUGGUGUGUUUUGAGUGAAAUUCAAUCCCUAAAACCAUGCAAUAC
rnacentral:lncRNA from 1 species